UCUUCUCCGCUCUGGCCUAUACAUAUAUAUAGUAGUAUUAUUUUAUGCAUGGUUCAGCUGUGUUUUUCAGAUAACUAUUUUAUUGGGCGCAAAAUAAAGGCUUCUUUUGAACUCUUGAGAGUUAAUUAGUUCAUUUACAGCCUUCUCAGAGGAAGGCUUCAGCCAUUGGGACGCUGCUUGCAGAAGUCACGUCAUUGGUGAUGAGUUUCCAGGUUUCACCGUUCUCUGGAACUAACAGAGGAUUCAUGCAUCGGAGCCGACUUAAAGCUCCUCGAAGCUUAGAUAGUGGAAGCUCUACUGUAUUGUCAUCAGAUUCAGUCGCCGUUAGCCGAACUUCUCCGCUUGCCGAUAGAAAGCUAAAUGGUUCUGUCAAUGAAGAAGGGAAUGGGCGGUUGCGGGUUCUUAGAGAGGAAGAUAAGAGGAGGAAUGCCGUUUUGACAGAGUUACCACCACUUUGGGACGAUGGUUAUGGGACUCAGACUGUAGAAGAUUACUUCAUUGCAGUCAAGGAAUUGAAUAAGUCUGAUGACGGCGGGCCCCCCCGGUGGUUUUGCCCAGUUGAGUGUUCUCCUACUUUGAAAGACUCUCCUACUCUUCUUUUUCUACCUGGGCUAGAUGGUACUGGAAUGGGCCUGAUUUUGCACCAUAAAGCUCUUGGGAAGGCUUUCGAAGUUCGCUGCUUGCAUAUUCCUGUUCACGAUCGAACUUCAUUUGAAGGACUGGUGAAAAUUGUUGAAGAAGCAGUAAAGCUCGAGCAUGCUUUAUUUCCAAACAAACCAAUUUAUUUGGUGGGAGAUUCUUUUGGAGCAUGCUUAGCACUUGCUGUUGCUUCUCGUAAUCCAACAGUUGACCUAGUACUGAUAUUAGCUAAUCCAGCUACAUCAUUUGGAAGAUCUCAAUUGCAGCCUUUGUUUCCUAUCUUGGAGGCUUGGCCAAAUGAACUGCAUGCCGCCGUUCCAUUUCUUCUUAGUUUUGUUAUGGGUGAUCCAACAAAGAUGGCAGCUGUCAGCAUUGAAAAUAGGCUUCCUCCUAUGAAAAAAAUUGAACAACUGUCUAACAACCUUACUGCAUUGCUGCCAUGUCUGCCUGACUUGGCCGACAUUAUACCAAAGGACACCCUUCUUUGGAAGCUGAAGCUUCUUAAAUCUGCUGCUGCACAUGCUAAUUCGCGUCUUCAUGCUGUGAAAGCUGAAGUACUCGUGUUAGCUAGUGGCAACGAUAAAAUGCUUCCCAGUGAAGAUGAAGCUAAAAGACUAAAGAGCUCAUUGCAACACUGCAAAGUACGUAACUUCAAGGACAGCGGACAUACCCUUCUUUUGGAAGAUGGCAUUGGCCUGUUGACAAUAAUCAGGGGGACUUGCAUGUACCGCCGUUCAAGGAGACGUGAUAUGGUCAUGAAUUUUAUUCCUCCCAGCGCGACAGAAUUCAAUUAUGCAAUGGAUCAAGUAGUUGGGUCAUUUCGUAUUGCUACUGGUUCUGUGAUGUUCUCAACUUUGGAGGAUGGAAAGAUUGUGAAAGGUCUCGCUGGUGUUCCGGAUGAAGGUCCUGUCCUAUUGGUUGGUUAUCACAUGCUCAUGGGACUAGAGCUUAUUCCCCUUGUUGAAGAAGUUUUAAGGCAGAAGGGUAUUAUGCUUCGUGGUAUGGCCCAUCCUCUGCUGUUUGUGGAAAACAAGGAGAAUUCUUCUGCUGAGUUUUCUACGUCUGAUUGGGUAAAAAUAUUCGGUGGAGUACCUGUUUCAGCAACCUAUCUUUAUAAAUUGCUUUCAGAAAAAUCACACGUUCUACUGUAUCCUGGUGGAGCACGUGAGGCUCUCCAUUUCAAGUUGCCAGGGAGAGGAAUACAAGUUAAUAUGGCCUCAGAAUCAGGAAUUUGUGAGAAUGGCGGCACGGUUUGGAGCCACAAUUGUUCCAUUUGGAGUUGUGGGUGAAGAUGAUAUAGCUGAAUUGGUACUUGACUACAACGAUCUAAUUAAGGUCCCCAUCAUUAACGAUUACAUCAGAGAUUCUAAUCGUGAUGCUAUUAAGAUAAGGGAUGAGACGAGUGGGGAGGUAGCAAACCAAAACCUCUUCAUUCCAGGGCUGUUACCCAAGAUACCCGGUCGGUUUUACUAUCUAUUCGGGAAGCCCGUGAGAACAAAAGGCAUGGAGAAGAUGCUAGAAGACAAACACAAUGCCAACCAACUGUACCUGCAAAUUAAAUCUCAAGUUCAGCACAAUAUAAAUUACUUGAUCAAGAAGCGUGAGGAGGAUCCCUAUAGGAAUAUCGUUGACAGAAUAAUGUAUCGUGCAAUUUAUUCUUCUGAUACUCCAGCAUUCAAGCCCUAAAAAUGUUCAAUAAUAGCCUUGCAUAUAUUUGUAAUUCAACAGUAAAUGCUACGCGGUGGUCGGUGGAUUACAAAGGAAUGUUGAGAAAUGAAGAAGUUGCGGGGGAGACGGAGCGCUUCGCGCUGGCAAAAUAAAUAUAUGUUACCGGUCCAUUUGAUAUACAGCCAGGUAAUAUAAUUUCUAUUUGGGGACAUUGAAUUAGAGAAAUACAAUAUAUUAUUUCAAGAUUCCUUAAAGGGGGAAGGGAGAAAUUUGUAGUGAUA